rnacentral:misc_RNA from 1 species
GGAAGUAAAAGUCUAACAAGGUCUCCGUAGGUGAACCUGCGGAGGGAUCAUUACAGAGUUCUCGCCCUCGCGGGUAGAUCUCCCACCCACUGUUAUCGUUACUGUGUUGCUUUGGCGGGCCGCCGGGCCCCGCUCGGCCGCCGGCUCCGGCUGGCGCGCGCCCGCCAGAGGCCCAGCAAACUCUGAAUGUUAGUGUCGUCUGAGUACUAUAUAACAGUUAAAACUUUCAACAACGGAUCUCUUGGUUCUG